rnacentral:rRNA from 1 species
UACGAAGGGGGCUAGCGUUGCUCGGAAUUACUGGGCGUAAAGCGCACGUAGGCGGACUAUUAAGUCAGGGGUGAAAUCCCGGGGCUCAACCCCGGAACUGCCUUUGAUACUGGUAGUCUCGAGUCCGGAAGAGGUGAGUGGAAUUCCGAGUGUAGAGGUGAAAUUCGUAGAUAUUCGGAGGAACACCGGUGGCGAAGGCGGGUCUCUGGGCCGAUACUGACGCUGAGGAGCGAAAGCGUGGGGAGCGAACAGG